UCCUCCUACCAUGUGUGCCCCGGGAUCAGAGGCCUUUUUUGCUGAGCCAUCUUCUGGUCCAGUACUAUGGUUUUAAAAAACAGUUCUUUUAGAAGUCCAGCAGCUUUCACUGAGUUAUGUCCCAAAUAAGCCAAGUUGGAAAUCUGGAGGCAUGGUCUCAUAACAAGAUGGCAAACAGCUACUUAUUAUAUCUUCCUUAGCCCAUUAAAAACUGCUUAGCUUAGGCUACAUGGAGAAAGAAAACACUGAAGUAAAACGUAAAAAUAAAAGUGCUAUGGAACUUAACCUCAUCGCCACGGUGUUUCUGCAAAAACAGACACUGCGUCCACAUGAGCAGGACUUGCUUUUCUCCAUGAGCCAUGAAGCAGUGGGUCAGACCCUACUCUCUCACUUCACCCGAACGUCACCAGUGACGCCUGCGGUUUGAUGACAGCAUCCCAGCGAGAAAGAAUGAAUGCUUGCGGUUGUGACCAGAGAGGAGACCAGCACACGAGUCUCCUGUGAGUGGAGGGGAAGCCUGGGGGCUGUGGUGUAGAACGAUCAAUGCAGGGGGCCAGGGAGAUGUAAGAAUCAGAAACACAGAUGGGAGCUGUUAGGAACAGUAAGGAGACACCAUGGCCAGAAAGGAUCUCAAUAGGCUACAAGACUGCGGGAGGGCAGAGCGGCCAGGCGGUGGGUGUCUGUGACCGCUUGCUUCCUUUCUCUUAUCAGCAUUCUAAUCUUGCCUGUGGCAUUCCUCUGGCCCUCACACUACUCACUGACCACCCUGCCCACUUGAUGUUGGUGCUAUAUCACCUUCCUGAAAGUGAAAAGCGUGCAGAAACCAUGACUCCACGUUAAAGAAGCAAGCCACUACCCAGUGCCAAAGCCAAGCGCAGCGGACCACUCUGUGGGAGAAGAGACAGGGGGAAGGGGCCAUUUGCUUACCUGACAGGACAACUUCUACCAGGUCCCCUUCAUGUAUUUCAUCUGCUGAGGUAAUCAGCUGCAAAAUGUUUUCUGAGUUCAUGUCGUGGCGAAAGAGAAGAAUUUUAUCAUACAUGCCAAAGAAUCCACACUCUGGAAACUGAAGAAAAACAGUCCUGCAUCAAUAUUCCAUAGCUUUCUGCUGUUACAAAUAGUCUACAAAAGAAUUUUGAAGUGUCUUGACAUAGUGCUAGUGACUAACAACUCUUUUAAUAUUUAAAAGGUGAACCUUGUACUCAAAUAUCCUGGUUAAUUUUAAAGCUCAAAAACAGAAAAGUAAAUUUGCAAAUAAAUAAUCAUUACCUUAAAACACAUGUGUCUUACAAAUUUCAGAUUUCUAAUUGCUAUAAGACAACAUCGUUUUCUACUGGUUCUGUUUUUAUCCCGAGGAGGACCAACCAUGAAUCUAUACGACCUUGAGCUGCCUUUCUUAGAUCCAACAGUUUCUCACACUUUGCAGUUUUGGGAGGACGUGCUCACUGGCUAGCAUACUUGGCAGUAACCAUGAAAAUUAAACCAAUUACUGUAACAUAAAGAACUUGGGUUUCUGAUGAGUUGGAUGUGCCAUGAACAUUAGCGUCUGUCUACUGCUCCCCAUAUUUCGUUAUUAUCAACAACAGCCGAUUCUCCCCAUCUUCCUCUCCACCCAGAGGCCCAUCUGCUUGCUGGAACUGUUGGGAAGGAUUUGGAAGUAUGGUCUUAUUGGAGAAGGUGUAUCACAGGGUGGCUUUGAUGCUUCAAAUUCCUCCUGCUACCCCCACUGCACUCCCUGCUCCUUCCUGUUUGUGGAUCUGGAUAUGAGCUCUCAGCUGCUGCUCCAGGGCCACAGUGGCCAUGCUCCUGCCACAGAGAUGAUGGACUCCUAUCCCUUUGGAACUCCAAGACCCAAAUACACCCCUCCUCCUGUAAGCUGUCUUGAUUGUGAUAUUUCAAUAAGAACUAAGACAACAUGUAACAUUUACAAAGUAGUCUAUGG